rnacentral:rRNA from 1 species
GACGAACGCUGGCGGCGUGCUUAACACAUGCAAGUCGAACGGAAAGGCCCUGCUUUUGUGGGGUGCUCGAGUGGCGAACGGGUGAGUAACACGUGAGUAACCUGCCCUUGACUUUGGGAUAACUUCAGGAAACUGGGGCUAAUACCGGAUAGGAGCUCCUGCUGCAUGGUGGGGGUUGGAAAGUUUCGGCGGUUGGGGAUGGACUCGCGGCUUAUCAGCUUGUUGGUGGGGUAGUGGCUUACCAAGGCUUUGACGGGUAGCCGGCCUGAGAGGGUGACCGGGGACAUGGGGACUAAGGGACGGCGCAGAGGCGAAAGGGAGGCAAAAGUGGGGAGUAUGGUAAAAUGGGGGGGAGCGUGAGAAAGAAGCGCGGGGAGCGGGAAGAAGGGUAAGGGGGGAUAAAGGGCAGUAAGCUGAGACGAAGCGGGAGUGACGGUAAUAGGUAAAGAAGCACCGGCUAACUACGUG